rnacentral:rRNA from 1 species
GAUUAAGUUAUUAAGGGCGCACGGUGGAUGCCUUGGCACUAGAAGCCGAUGAAGGACGUUACUAACGACGAUAUGCUUUGGGGAGCUGUAAGUAAGCUGUAAUCCAGAGAUUUCCGAAUGGGGAAACCCAGCACGAGUUAUGUCGUGUUAUCGACAUGUGAAUAUAUAUCAUGUCUGAAGGCAUACCCGGAGAACUGAAACAUCUUAGUACCCGGAGGAAGAGAAAGAAAAAUCGAUUCCCUGAGUAGCGGCGAGCGAAACGGGAAGAGCCCAAACCAAUAAGCUUGCUUAUUGGGGUUGUAGGACACUCUAUACGGAGUUACAAAUGUAUAAAUUAGACGAAUUAUCUGGAAAGAUAAAUCAAAGAAGGUAAUAAUCCUGUAGUCGAAAAUUUAUACACUCUUGAGUGGAUCCUGAGUACGACGGAGCACGUGGAAUUCCGUCGGAAUCCGGGAGGACCAUCUCCCAAGGCUAAAUACUCUCUAGUGACCGAUAGUGAACCAGUACCGUGAGGGAAAGGUGAAAAGUACCCCGGAAGGGGAGUGAAAGAGAACUUGAAACCGUGUGCUUACAAGUAGUCAGAGCCCGUUAAUGGGUGAUGGCGUGCCUUUUGUAGAAUGAACCGGCGAGUUACGAUCUGAUGCAAGGUUAAGCAGCAAAUGUGGAGCCGCAGCGAAAGCGAGUCUGAAUAGGGCGUUGAGUAUUUGGUCGUAGACCCGAAACCAGGUGAUCUACCCAUGACCAGGCUGAAGUUCAGGUAACACUGAAUGGAGGGCCGAACCGACUUACGUUGAAAAGUGAGCGGAUGAGUUGUGGGUAGCGGAGAAAUUCCAAUCGAACCUGGAGAUAGCUGGUUCUCUCCGAAAUAGCUUUAGGGCUAGCCUCAAGUGAUGAUUAUUGGAGGUAGAGCACUGUUUGGACGAGGGGCCCUUCUCGGGUUACCGAAUUCAGACAAACUCCGAAUGCCAAUCAAUUUAACUUGGGAGUCAGAACAUGGGUGAUAAGGUCCGUGUUCGAAAGGGAAACAGCCCAGACCACCAGCUAAGGUCCCAAAAUAUAUGUUAAGUGGAAAAGGAUGUGGCGUUGCCCAGACAACUAGGAUGUUGGCUUAGAAGCAGCCAUCAUUUAAAGAGUGCGUAAUAGCUCACUAGUCGAGUGACACUGCGCCGAAAAUGUACCGGGGCUAAACAUAUUACCGAAGCUGUGGAUUGUCCGUAGGACAAUGGUAGGAGAGCGUUCUAAGGGCGUUGAAGCAUGAUCGCAAGGACAUGUGGAGCGCUUAGAAGUGAGAAUGCCGGUGUGAGUAGCGAAAGACGGGUGAGAAUCCCGUCCACCGAUUGACUAAGGUUUCCAGAGGAAGGCUCGUCCGCUCUGGGUUAGUCGGGACCUAAGCUGAGGCCGAAAGGCGUAGGCGAUGGACAACAGGUUGAUAUUCCUGUACCACCUCAAUUCGUUUUAAGCGAUGGGGGGACGCAGUAGGAUAGGCGAAGCGUACGAUUGGAUUGUACGUCCAAGCAGUAAGACUGAGUAUUAGGCAAAUCCGGUACUCGUAAGGUCAAGCUGUGAUGGGGAGAGGAAUUUAUUCCUCGAGUCGUUGAUUUCACACUGCCAAGAAAAUCCUCUAGCUAGAAUUAUGGUGCCCGUACCGCAAACCGACACAGGUAGUCAAGAUGAGAAUUCUAAGGUGAGCGAGCGAACUCUCGUUAAGGAACUCGGCAAAAUGACCCCGUAACUUCGGGAGAAGGGGUGCUUUCUAGGGUUCACGCCCAGGAAAGCCGCAGUGAAUAGGCCCAAGCGACUGUUUAUCAAAAACACAGGUCUCUGCUAAACCGUAAGGUGAUGUAUAGGGGCUGACGCCUGCCCGGUGCUGGAAGGUUAAGAGGAGUGGUUAGCUUCUGCGAAGCUACGAAUCGAAGCCCC